rnacentral:rRNA from 1 species
AGAGGUAGAGACUAAUUGGGAUCCGCCGCGGAGGAGAGGAAGAAGGAGGAGGUCGGAGGGCGUUGUGUUGCCCGAUUCGGUUCGGAGGACGCUGCUCUCUCUCCGAGGCGCGUAGGUACCAGACCGAGGGUGCCGGUACCGGUUCCAGAGAACUCCGAACCGGAACUUCUGAAACCGGUACAGGUACCACCGGUACCGUAGAACCCUUCGCUUCAACGUCUAGCUCUAGCUCUACCGAUUACAACCGUAGAGCUCAAAGGGAACACAUAAAGCAAGAGCUAAGCAAACUCAUCAACCUAGACGUAGACCCAAAGUAUAGCUAAACACAACACAAGUAGAGUCUUUAAGUCAAAAGGGGCAGCGUGUCGAGCAGUCCGCUCUACCUACGCGGCAGACUAGAGCUGGAUCAGGUGCCAAAAAGAAAAAGAAAAAAAGCUAGAAAGAACAACCCGAAAAGAAGGAAAGCCGGGCUGAAGAGAAAACCCGAGCGAGCACGACCGAAAGGUAAACUUUAAAGUAGACCCGACCCGACGAAAUAUUGAUUUAGACCCGAGACCUGGACGAAAUAUUGAUCUACACCCGACAAUACCCGCUUCGGGCCGGAAAAACCCUUCACCGACUCCGCGGGAUGGAGAGAGAGAUAUAUUCCUGCGGGUAAAGCGGUGGCGGGGGAUUUGGGAUUUGGGACUCCGCUUCCCCCGCCACCGCCGCCGCCGCCUCUCUCAGCUCGUCCGUCGCGGGGGUAGACCAAAGCUGUUGAGGCUGCCGGUACCGCGAGUCCCGACAAAAUCCACGACGGAAGUCCCCGCAAGCUAGACGGGCGGUCGUGAGAGACCCCCAGUGGUCCAUGGGGCAACUGGGGUAGAGACAGACGAUAAAGUGGUCGCGAUCUAGACGGGUCCAAGUGGGAAGCAACAACGUAAAGUCCUGACACCUCCAUAGACCAGGGUUCUAGAGACGCAGGGCGAGGGGAACCGAGCAACCAAGGGCCAAGAAGAGGUGAUUCCUUAGCCUGUGAGAAGAGUCCCUUUCAUAAUUCUUACCUCAGGUGUCCCCCAAUUUCCUUCGGGAACGGUUUUUACUACCGUUUAGUCAAAAUUUCGAGAGACAUUAAUUUAGACCACACUUACGACCCCAAUUCCUUAGAGACUUCCUUAUGGUACAAAAGUAACUGAAACGACUUAGGCUAAACGCAGGACUCCAAUUCAGCCGGUAACUCCUCAGGCACGAAGUUCCAGAACUAUUGAAACACGAAGUCAACGUGUUCCAUGGUGGGGUCCCUCCUGUCGAUUUCCCGGGAAUGGAAGAAUUCAAUCGAGAAUUCCUUCGAUAACUACUUCCCUACCUACACUAAAUAGUUUUCAAGUCACAAAUACAACCAGCUCCGCACCUGGAAGAGCAGUCCCUGGAGCGUAACUAGUUCCUCGUCUGGUUCCCAUGACUAAAACAAGUCCGAACCACAAGGGCGGAACGGGUAGUCACCGAAUUGUUUCCAAAGUAUUUAAAACACCUAUUUAGCACCUGCUAAGAGGGCAUACAACGGCCGCACAUGGACAAGCAGGAGAAACACUUCUGGGAACAACUCUCACCGUAUGGUGGGACCCUUAUGGGACUAAAAGAGUUGAAGAUGGCGCAAAUACCCGAGUGGAGCCGGUAGCGGAAGAUGGUCCUACUUUUCUUCUUUUUCCUCCUCCGCCGCCGACGACCGCUCUUCAUCUCAAGAGGUAGACAGACAUGACGAGCUUGGUUCAACUUCAGGCUACAGUCAAAAGCAGACGGGCAUCAUCCGUUCUACGUCUUCCCACUUGCCCACUAACCGUCCGCGACAACACAAAACCUAUGACUAAAUGAGGGUUCUUUUGACAGUGCUUCUCGAGCAAUCGCCGGUAGAGCCAAGUUCGGUCGAGCUGAACUGUUCAUUGGACCGCUUGCGAUCUGGGUG